rnacentral:rRNA from 1 species
UACGUAGGUGGCAAGCGUUAUCCGGAAUUAUUGGGCGUAAAGCGCGCGCAGGCGGUUUCUUAAGUCUGAUGUGAAAGCCCAGCGGCUCAACCGUGGAGGUCAUUGGAAACUGGGGAACUUGAGUGCAGAAGAGAAAAGCGGAAUUCCACGUGGUAGCGGUGAAAUGCGUAGAUAAUCGGAAGAACACCGAAGGCGAAGGCGGCUGCUGGACCUGG